rnacentral:rRNA from 1 species
CAUGUGUUUUUUAUUGAACAAAUUUCUUUGGUGGCGGGAGCAAUCCUACCGCCAGAGGUUAUAACUAAACCAAACUUUUUAUUUACAGUCAAACUUGAUUUAUUAUUACAAUAGUCAAAACUUUCAACAACGGAUCUCUUGGUUCUCGCAUCGAUGAAGAACGCAGCGAAAUGCGAUACGUAAUAUGAAUUGCAGAUAUUCGUGAAUCAUCGAAUCUUUGAACGCACAUUGCGCCCUUUGGUAUUCCAAAGGGCAUGCCUGUUUGAGCGUCAUUUCUCCCUCAAACCCCCGGGUUUGGUGUUGAGCAAUACGCUAGGUUUGUUUGAAAGAAUUUACGUGGAAACUUAUUUUAAGCGACUUAGGUUUAUCCAAAACGCUUAUUUUGCUAGUGGCCACCACAAUUUAUUUCAUAACUUUGACCUCAAAUNAGGUAGGACUACCCGCUGAACUUAAGCAUAUCAAUAAGCGGAGGA